AGAUCUAGCCAGCAGUUCUCAACCUGUGAGUUGCAAACACUGGAAAACAGGUAUUUCUGAUGGUCUUAGGAACUGAGACACCAUUCCUCUAAAAAGUUACAGCUAUGAAGUAGCAACAAAAAUAACUUUAUGGUGAGGGGGAGUCAGCACAACAUGAGGAACUGCAUUAAAGAGUCAAAGCACUAGGAAGGUUGAGAACCACUGAUCUAGAUAGGAAUGAAUAAUUUUUCAUUUUCUGUGCACUUUCCUGCAUUUUAAAAACAAAAGUAUUUAUUUUUGGCUUGAAGUAUCUGUGUCUUUGAGUUUGUAUGCAGCUUAUUUCUAUUCCCAUUUUCUCUAGGGAUUUUUAUGUUAGGAUCAUAUAGCUAAAUAUAAGUCUCCUGAGUGUGAUGCAUAUAAAUGCAGGAGAUAAAAAUCAUCUUUAACCUGAGCCACACUUGGACGCCUAGAGAGCCAUCUGUGGCAUAGAUGGCUUCUCAGUGGGCGCCAUGAAGGAACUCAGCUGUCCGCACCACCCCACAAACUCACCCCUGUGUGUGUUUGCCUCCCCUGGAAGAAAUUGCGGCUGCCUUUCAGAGUUAGUCAAGUUUUUCUGUUUAAGAACAGUUUCAUUCUAAAUAACAAGAUAAAAAUCUAGUCUUACAGAGUCUCAUAUUAAAACUCAUCACUGCCAUGUGAUUUAAAUUUUACAACGUUGGGAGGCAGAGGCAGGCAGAUUUCUGAGUUCAAGGCCAGCCUGCAUCGACUCUAGACUCUCUUCCCAAAUC
ensembl:lincRNA Gm28087 predicted gene 28087